rnacentral:misc_RNA from 1 species
UCCGGCUUGACGCCGGCGGUCUCGCUAGAGUUCCCGGCAUGACCCGAUGGCAACUAACGAUAGGGGUUUCGCUCGUUAAGGGACUUAACCCGACACUUCACAGCACGAGCUGACGACAGCCAUGCAGCACCUGUGCAAGUUUCACCCGAAGGCAGCUUACUCCUGUUUCCAGAAGGGCAUCCAAGCAUGUCAAACCCAGGUAAGGUUCUUCGCGUUGCUUCGAAUUAAUCCACAUGCUCCACUGCUUGUGUGAGCCCCCGUCAAUUCCUUUGAGUUUUAGCCUUGCGGCCGUACUCCCCAGGCGGCGCACUUAACACUUUUGCUUCGGUACGAUUGACGUCAGAGUCCCUCAUACCUAGUGCGCAUCGUUUACGGCGUGGACUAC